rnacentral:rRNA from 1 species
GUGCACCAGGCGCGAAAACUUCACACUGUGCGAAAGCACGAUGAGGGAAUCCCAAGUGCUUGCACGUAAGUGUAAGCUGUUUCUCUGUUUAAAACGCAGAGAGAGUAAGGGCUGGGUAAGACGGGUGCCAGCCGCCGCGGUAAUACCUGCAGCUCAAGUGGUGACCGUUAUUAUUGGGCCUAAAACGUCCGUAGCCGGUUUAAUAAAUGCCUGGGUAAAUCGUGUAGCUUAACUAUACGAAUUCCGGGUAGACUGUUAAACUCGAGACCGGGAGAAGUUAGAGGUACUCCUGGGGUAGAGGUGAAAUUCUGUAAUCCUAGGGGGACCACCAGUGGCGAAGGCGUCUAACUAGAACGGGUCUGACGGUGAGGGACGAAGCCCUGGGGCGCAAACGGGAUUAGAUACCCGUGUAGU